rnacentral:lncRNA from 1 species
AAGCUAGGAGCCGCGCGAGUCGUAGUGUCGCUGUUUGCGGGUCUCCGCGCGGGACCGGGGCGCAGCGGGGUCGCUGAGGCGAGGGUGUCAUGUCAGACAACGAGGACAAUUUUGAUGGCGACGACUUUGAUGAUGUGGAGGAGGAUGAAGGGCUAGAUGACUUGGAGAAUGCCGAAGAGGUCAGUAUUCAGCCUCAGGCUCCCACCUCUGCAGCCCAAGCUGCCAAAUCGUCUGACAGGAAGGCCAGGAGAAUGUCGAGAUCCUCCCCUCUGGGGAGCGACCGCAGGCCAACCAGAAGCGAAUCACCACACCAUACAUGACCAAGUACGAGCGAGCCCGCGUGCUGGGCACCCGAGCGCUCCAGAUUGCGAUGUGUGCCCCUGUGAUGGUGGAGCUGGAGGGGGAGACAGAUCCUCUGCUCAUUGCCAUGAAGGAACUCAAGGCCCGAAAGAUCCCCAUCAUCAUUCGCCGUUACCUGCCAGAUGGGAGCUAUGAAGACUGGGGGGUGGACGAGCUCAUCAUCACCGACUGAGCUGGAGUCAUCUUCCUGCCCUUGCCCCAUGCCCAAUUUUCAUUCUCACUUUAUAUGUGUAAAUAAUAAAAUAUUCAACUUUC